GCACACAGCUGAGAGACCCCGAGCCCAGAGUUUGCAGCAGUUUUAUACACUUUCUGGGGAAGGCAGGGACCCCACAUACAUCAUAGCAUCUCUUAGCAAAUCAUCACACACCGACAUGAUUAGCACAUUCACUGGCAGGGACAGGUUGGGUAGGGGUAAUUGGUUAGUACAAGAGGGGGAUUUGUUUGAACUGAUUGGUUUAAGCCACGAGGGGAGUAUGUGCUGAACUACAUGGUUUCCCAACAUGUUAUCAACCACCAUAAACUACUGGGAGGGUCAUCUGGCAUCCCAGGUAUUUCCUUGUCUCAUGCUGAUUGGUGGCUGCUAGGGGGUUGCUAUGGAUCCCCACCUAGCCUGACUGAGUCAGGGACACUGGCUCAGCAGAUCUCUCCUGUUAUUUGUAGAUAAACAACUCAGCAGGGUGGGUAUGUGCCUAGGAGUGCUCUGUGGGUCUUUCCAAGGACUAGGGUCACACCCCCUUCCUUGGACAGGUUUUGCUCAGAGGUAGAGGCUGGUUUUUCACUGGAUGAGGAAGGUCACUUGGAUGCUGGAGAAGAGCACUAUUAACUACCACCAUCUCAGGUGAGAGGCUGGCUCUCCCUUCUUGGUUAAUGUACAAGAUAAAUACAGAAGAGGAAAGCAGAUUCCAGAAAUAACAGCUGCUGAGCAGAAGAGAUGGGGAGUGAGUGAGUGAGUGAUGGUGUUGGGACCUGGGUGGGGAUAGAGAAUUCCAAAUUUGCAAUAACAGAGGCUCUUCUCAGCCAUUUCCAAGACUCUUAUACAUACCAGGAGGAAAGCACAUGUUUGCCCUAUGCUUUCAUCCCUCUUCAUAAGUCAGUAUCACUAGCUAAGUUGGUUGCUAGUCCUAAGGGAAUUUGAGUUCCUAGGAAGAGAGGACAAAGGUAUCCGAGGAACAGCACUAGCCCCUUAAAAGAAAGCCAGGUGCUGAAGGCUCUCUCAGAAGAAAAUGAGCUACUGUCCCAGAAAAAUGAUUUGAAAUAAUAAGAUAAAUAUCCAGAGGAAGAGAAGUUAUUACAAAUAUGAAGCAGUAAUAGUUGGUGAAGAAGAAACAAAUAGAGAUAGGAAGAAGACAUAAAAUUCCAGUGAGAUGAAGUAUGUGGUUAAGAAAUUUUCCCUGGAGGCUCAAUAAAGGGAUAAAAGAUGGAAAAUGGCUAAGAAGAUCUAAAAUAGAGAGGAUAGAAGUAGAGUGGUCAACUUUGAUCUAUUAGAGAAAGCUAAACGGAGUAGAGAAUUUUUGUUUUUGUUUUUGUUAAAAUAAUGGUUGAGAAUUCAAGAAAUUUGGAAGAGUCAGAUCAAAGGGCUUUAUAGAGCACCAGACAACAUCAACAAAGGGAAUCACAAAUCUUGACACACGAUAUGUAGUUUAAAAUACCAAAGACGAAAUUCUAAAAGCAUCCAAAUAAUAUCAUUUCACUGUAAACUGUUACAGGAUUAAAUACGGAACUUGCAUGAGACAAGAAUGAUCAGCAUCAAACUUUUAAACACUAGAAUAUUAAAGUAAUAUUUUUAAAACACUGAAGGAAAAUUACCUCAGGCCUAGAAUUGUGCAGCAUGUAAACAU
rnacentral:lncRNA from 1 species